rnacentral:pre_miRNA from 1 species
UGGACAGAUUAUUGUAUUCGACUGUAUUCACAGCGUGAAACAGGGGAUUACACUGUUUUUAAAUGGAAAGUGAAUCAAUUAACAUAAUAGACUCCU